AGCGAACGCUGGCGGCAGGCCUAACACAUGCAAGUCGAACGAACCUUUCGGGGUUAGUGGCGGACGGGUGAGUAACAUGUGGGAACGUUCCUUUAGGCUCGGAAUAACUCAUUUAAACUUGUGCUAAUACCGAAUGUGCCCUUCGGGGGAAAGAUUUAUCGCCUUUAGAGAGGCCCGCGUUUGAUUAGCUAGUUGGUUGAGGUAAUGGCUCACCAAGGCUACCUUCAGUAGAUGGUCAGAGAGAAUGAGCAGCCACAUUGGGACUGAGACACGGCCCAAAAUACUACGGGAGGCAGGAGUGGGGAAUCUUGCGCAAUGGGGGAAAGGCUGAAGCAGCCAUGCCGCGUGAAUGAUGAAGGUCUUAGGAUAGUAAAAUUCUUUCACCGGGGACGAUAAUGACGGUACCCGAAGAAGAAGCCCCGGCUAACUUCGUG
rnacentral:rRNA from 1 species